UACGAAGGGGGCUAGCGUUGCUCGGAAUGACUGGGCGUAAAGGGCGCGUAGGCGGAAUGCUUUGUCGGGCGUGAAAUCCCACGGCUCAACCGUGGAAGUGCACUCGAAACUGCGCAGCUAGAGUCCUGGAGAGGAAGGUGGAAUGCUUGGUGUAGAGGUGAAAUUCGUAGAUAUCAAGCGGAACACCGGUGGCGAAGGCGGCCUUCUGGACAGUGACUGACGCUGAGAUGCGAAAGCGUGGGGAGCAAACAGG
rnacentral:rRNA from 1 species